GUGUCAGCCGCCGCGGUAAUACAGAGGGUGCAAGCGUUAAUCGGAAUUACUGGGCGUAAAGCGUGCGUAGACGGUUAUUUAAGUCAGGUGUGAAAGCCCCGGGCUCAACCUGGGAAUUGCAUUUGAGACUGAAUAGCUAGGGUGCGGAAGAGGGAAGCGGAAUUUCCGGUGUAGCGGUGAAAUGCGUAGAUAUCGGAAGGAACACCAGUGGCGAAAGCGGCUUCCUGGUCCAGCACCGACGUUCAGGCACGAAAGCGUGGGGAGCAAACAGGAUUAGAUACCCCUGUAGUCC
rnacentral:rRNA from 1 species